rnacentral:rRNA from 1 species
UUACUGGGCGUAAAGCGUGCGUAGGCGGCUGAUUAAGUCGGAUGUGAAAUCCCUGAGCUUAACUUAGGAAUUGCAUUCGAUACUGGUCAGCUAGAGUAUGGGAGAGGAUGGUAGAAUUCCAGGUGUAGCGGUGAAAUGCGUAGAGAUCUGGAGGAAUACCGAUGGCGAAGGCAGCCAUCUGGCCUAAUACUGACGCUGAGGUACGAAAGCAUGGGGAGCAAACAGGAUUAGAUACCCUGGUAGUCCAUGCCGUAAACGAUGUCUACUAGCCGUUGGGGCCUUUGAGGCUUUAGUGGCGCAGCUAACGCGAUAAGUAGACCGCCUGGGGAGUACGGUCGCAAGACUAAAACUCAAAUGAAUUGACGGGGGCCCGCACAAGCGGUGGAGCAUGUGGUUUAAUUCGAUGCAACGCGAAGAACCUUACCUGGUCUUGACAUAGUAAGAACUUUNCAGAGAUGGAUUGGUGCCUUCGGGAACUUACAUACAGGUGCUGCAUGGCUGUCGUCAGCUCGUGUCGUGAGAUGUUGGGUUAAGUCCCGCAACGAGCGCAACCCUUUUCCUUAUUUGCCAGCGGGUUAAGCCGGGAACUUUAAGGAUACUGCCAGUGACAAACUGGAGGAAGGCGGGGACGACGUCAAGUCAUCAUGGCCCUUACGACCAGGGCUACACACGUGCUACAAUGGUCGGUACAAAGGGUUGCUACCUAGCGAUAGGAUGCUAAUCUCAAAAAGCCGAUCGUA